GAGGGAGCACAGAAUCACCUCAGUAGCAGAACAGUGGAGCGGCUGAGAAGCUGGGUUUCUGAAAUCACCCAUUCACGAUGUCCAUAAUCCUGCCCACUCUUUUAAGGGGGACAUCAAAUAAAAGCUGGAAGCCAAGAGGUCUCUGGGAAAGCCCUCCUGUUGAGAACCGCAGGAAAAACCAACCGCGGAGGAGGAUGUCAUCUUGGGAUUGGCCCUUCGGAGGGAAGAGCACUGCUUUAAACAGUGUGUUUGCAAACACAGAUGUCAGGGACAGGCAGUUUAUUUUUAGAGUUCCGCAUAUCACAUUUCCCCACACUGAUUCCCUUUCUUAUCUUUUUCUGCAUCAGAACAGCCAAACAGGAUUCGAGUGAUGCUUUGAGAUGGCUCAGUUCCCUGCAUUGUGUCUAGAGCCUCGAAUGCAGCAGACGCUUAGCUCCAACGUGGCUGUAGUGGCUUCAUCCUCACAACUUCGGUCUUUGAACUGGAAGACUUUGGAUAACCGUCUCGUGGGCUUAUUCGCUGGCAGUUACAAAUCAGUCUGGUGGUAAUUAUGCCUGCAGAUCAGCUAUUAAGUUUAUGUGCUUGUCAAAAUUUGACUCUAUGCUCCAUUGAAAUGUAAUUAGAGCCACUUAGAGCUGGUCAGACGCCAAUCUUAAGACUCUGACUGAUCUUGAUGACUACAGGAUUCGUGUUCAGCUCACCCUGGGACACCCUUCCGCUAUUCCACAGACAUCAGGGACUGGGAGAGCAGGACACCAAGCUGAAAGGAAUUGAAAGCCCUGAGGAGCCAAGGAAAUCCAGGGAGGUCAGACGCCAAGUCUUACAUUUCCUCUGGGCAGAAGCUACUGAUGGCAGGAUUUUAGAUUGGAGGAGACUGGGCUGGCAUACCAUACAUGGAUUGAACUCAGCUUUGUCAAGCUUGGUGGCAGUCACCUUUACCUGCUGAGCCAGCUCAUCAGCCCAUGAUCUAUCUACCUUUGUAAAAAUAUGAAAAGGAGAAAACUGGAGCUGAAGAUGUGACUUAUAGGUUAAAAGCACUUGCCACUCUUUCAGAGGACCCAGGUUCAGUUCCUAUCGCUCACAUGGUGACUCACGACCAUCUGUAACCCCAGCUUCAGAGGAUCUGAUACCCUCAUCUGGCCUCCACGAACACCAGGCACUCACGUGGUGCACAUACAUGUAUGCAAGCAAAGCAUUCAUAUGUAUAAAAUAAAAAUUAAUAAAUCC
rnacentral:lncRNA from 1 species